UACGUAGGUGGCAAGCGUUAUCCGGAUUUAUUGGGCGUAAAGAGAACGCAGGCGGUCUUUUAAGUCUGAUGUGAAAGCCUUCGGCUUAACCGGAGUAGUGCAUUGGAAACUGGGAGACUUGAGUGCAGAAGAGGAGAGUGGAACUCCAUGUGUAGCGGUGAAAUGCGUAGAUAUAUGGAAGAACACCAGUGGCGAAAGCGGCUCUCUGGUCUGUAGCUGACGCUGAGGUUCGAAAGCGUGGGUAGCAAACAGG
rnacentral:rRNA from 1 species